rnacentral:rRNA from 1 species
CCUACGGGGGGCUGCAGUGGGGAAUAUUGGACAAUGGGCGAAAGCCUGAUCCAGCCAUGCCGCGUGUGUGAAGAAGGCCUUCGGGUUGUAAAGCACUUUCAGUGGGGAAGAAAGCCUUGGGGCUAAUACCCUCGAGGAAGGACAUCACCCACAGAAGAAGCACCGGCUAACUCCGUGCCAGCAGCCGCGGUAAUACGGAGGGUGCGAGCGUUAAUCGGAAUUACUGGGCGUAAAGCGCGCGUAGGCGGUCUGAUAAGCCGGUUGUGAAAGCCCCGGGCUCAACCUGGGAACGGCAUCCGGAGCUGUCAGGCUAGAGUGCAGGAGAGGAAGGUAGAAUUCCCGGUGUAGCAGUGAAAUGCGUAGAGAUCGGGAGGAAUACCAGUGGCGAAGGCGGCCUUCUGGACUGACACUGACGCUGAGGUGCGAAAGCGUGGGUAGCAAACAGGAUUAGAUACCCGGGUAGUC